GCCGUGGUGGCUCAGUGGUUAAGUGCUUGCCUGCUAACCAAAAGGUUGGUGGUUCGAGCCCACCGGCU
rnacentral:tRNA from 1 species